UACAGAGGUCCCGAGCGUUGUUCGGAUUCACUGGGCGUAAAGGGUGCGUAGGCGGUCGGGUAAGUCUGAUGUGAAAUCUCACAGCUUAACUGUGAAACUGCAUUGGAUACUAUUCGGCUUGAGAGUUGGAGGGGGGACUGGAAUUCUUGGUGUAGCAGUGAAAUGCGUAGAUAUCAAGAGGAACACCAGUGGCGAAGGCGGCAUUCUGGACUGUAGCUGACACUGAGAGACGAAAGCCAGGGGAGCAAACGGG
rnacentral:rRNA from 1 species